rnacentral:rRNA from 1 species
UUUAGACUGGAACAACUUACCGAAAGGUGAGCUAAUGCCGGAUGAGUUAUAUAAGUGCAUGUUUAUAUAGGAAAAGUUGGGGAGACCUGACGCUGAAAGAUGGACUCGCGUCCCAUUAGCUAGUUGGUAGGGUAAUGGCCUACCAAGGCGACGAUGGGUAGCCGGCCUGAGAGGGUGGCCGGCCACACUGGGACUGAGACACGGCCCAGACUCCUACGGGAGGCAGCAGUGGGGAAUUUUGCGCAAUGCUCGUAAGAGCGACGCAGCGACGCCGCGUGAAUGACGAAGGCCUUCGGGUCGUAAAGUUCUUUCGACAGGGAAGAAAAUGCCUAUAAGUAACUGUGUAUGUAUUGACGGUACCUGUAUAAGCAGCCCCGGCUAACUCCGUGCCAGCAGCCGCGGUAAUACGGAGGGGGCGAGCGUUGUUCGGAGUGACUGGGCGUAAAGAGCACGUAGGCGGUGUUGUAAGUCAUUAGUCAAAGACUAGAGCUCAACUUUAGUAAGGCUAGUGAUACUAUAAUACUAGAGUAUCAGAGAGGAUUGCAGAAUUCCUGGUGUAGCGGUGAAAUGCGUAGAUAUCAGGAGGAAUACCGUUAGCGAAGGCGGCAAUCUGGCUGGAAACUGACGCUGAGGUGCGAAAGCGUGGGUAGCAAACAGGAUUAGAUACCCUGGUAGU